UUUUUUCUAAUCAUUACAUGUACCAUCACAUCACAACUGAAACUUGAUUAAGAAGAUAGUAUGUUUAUAUUUUGGAUCACGUUGACACUUUUUUUAAGCAUUGGCUAUGCAGCAAAUCGUGACGUUAGCUUAAAGGUUAAUUUUUCGACCUUGCUUAACAAGCAGCUGUUCCAUCUUCAUUCUAAACUGUGGAAUGUGUCCAAGUCAAACGAGGUGUUUCUUAAGUUCCAGUACCGAAAAUUUGUCCAAAUGGGUGGAAGUCGAGAAAAGGAAGUUGUUAUCAAGUAUUCACGGAUAGAGUGAACUGGUUCCAGGCCCAGGUUAUUGCAAAUCAAUAAUUUAAUAGAGAUUAGAUAUGCAAUUCGUUUUGUUUGAUCUGGUCUAGAUAUUGAUAUUUUAUACAUUGACUUUUCUAACAGAUGAAUUGCCGAAAAUAUGAUAGCACCCUUGCUCACAUUGAGGAUGAACUUGAAAACCAAUGGUUAAAGAAACAAUAUCCUGAUGUGAAAACAGCAACAUGGAUUGAUGCCGUUGAUUUAGGAAAAGAAGGUAAAUGGAUGUGGUUCUCAUCCGGAAAGAAUGCUUACUUUCUCCCUUGGGACAGCAGCGAACCAAGCCCUAAAUCAUCGGAGCACUGUGUAGUCACAUUCCAUCAUAACAAUGUAAAAUGGCAUAAUGCAAAUUGUAAGAUAAGUUUUAACUUUAUGUGCAAGAAACAAAUUAUUCAAUGAUUUUUAUUUAAUCCUUUUAAUUGUAUUAUUCAUUAUCCAUCCAUAUUGAAUAAACAACGGACAUAUUCGU
rnacentral:misc_RNA from 1 species